rnacentral:rRNA from 1 species
UUCUGGUUGAUCCUGCCGGAGGCGACCGCUAUUGGAGUUCGAUUAAGCCAUGCGAGUCGAGAGUCUUAGGGACUCGGCGCACUGCUCAGUAACACGUGGAUAAUCUGACCUACGCUCGAGGAUAAUCUCGGGAAACUGAGUUCAAUACUCGAUAGAUCACAUGUCCUGGAAUGGCUUGUGGUUGAAAGGUAACGGCGUAGGAUGAGUCUGCGGCGUAUCAGGUCGUAGUGGGUGUAAUGGACCCACUAGCCCUCGACGCGUACGGGUUGUGAGAGCAAUUGCCCGGAGAUGGAUUCUGAGGCACGAAUCCAGGCCCUACGGGGCGCAGCAGGCGCGAAAACUUCACACUGCAGGAAACUGUGAUGAGGGAACUCCAAGUGGCAGCACUAAGUGCUGUCUUUUCUGGACUCUUAAACGGUCUAGGAAGAAGGGCUGGGUAAGACCGGUGCCAGCCGCCGCGGUAAUACCGGCAGCUCAAGUGGUCGCCGCUUUUAUUGGGCCUAAAACGUCCGUAGCCGGCUUGGUAAACCCGUGGGUAAAUCAACCAGCUCAACUGGUUGAAUUCCGCGGAGACUGCCUGGCUUGGGACCGGGAGAGGCGUGAGGUACUCUCGGGGUAGGGGUAAAAUCCUGUCAUCCCGAGAGGACCACCUGUGGCGAAGGCGUCACGCUAGAACGGAUCCGACGGUCAGGG